AUGUUUCGCGGUAGAGAUACAAUCUUUGAAAUGUCGUUUAAAGUAUAAUGAAUAAGUGCCUUACAUAAAUACCGAUGACAUUUCAUUUUCACUCUUAGACUUAGAUUGUUGAAUGUAUCGGUGGGGCAUACAUUAUGGGGUUAUAGUUAACAAUUUCAUGUAUUAUUUGUUGUGAGUGUAACCUACAGUCUUUUAAAAUAAUUUUGCCAUAUGAUUUGCGAAAAAGUUUAACACAAUGGUUUUGAGAGUUUGACCUUAGAAUUAAUGUUACAUUCCGAAAUUCUAGUGUAAGAAAAGAGCAAGACUUGCUCAUUAUAUUGAUUAUCUAUUUCAGCUCCAAAACUGUCUUCUUCUAUCGAAAGCAAAGAUAAAACUUUGGGAACUAUCCUACGGAGUAAGUUUCCCGAAACAUGGAUAUGGGAAAAACACACAGUCGGGCGAGUUCCUUCGUUUAAAUAGCUUGACUUUUAUUUUGCGAACGUACUGUACUAUAUGUUUCUAUUUCUUUUUAUUCCUAAAUAAAUGCAAUAUGAUUUGAAGAAUAUUUAAUGUUUCUAGGCGAGAACACAGUAUCAUCGGGCAUUUUAAGCAUCGAAUUGGUCUGUCAUAGAUAUUCGAUCACUUUUUUUAAUGAAAUCACCCGCUUUAUGUUCGA